AGUGGGGAAUCUUNNACAAUGGGGAAACCCUGAUCUAGCCAUGCCGCGUGAGCGAUGAAGGCCUUAGGGUUGUAAAGCUCUUUCAGCUGGGAAGAUAAUGACGGCACCAGCAGAAGAAGCCCCGGCUAACUCCGUGCCAGCAGCCGCGGUAAUACGGAGGGGGCUAGCGUUGUUCGGAAUUACUGGGCGUAAAGCGCGCGUAGGCGGGCUGUUAAGUCGGGGGUGAAAUCCCGGGGCUCAACCCCGGAACUGCCUUCGAUACUGGCAGCCUAGAGGUCGAGAGAGGAGAGUGGAAUUCCGAGUGUAGAGGUGAAAUUCGUAGAUAUUCGGAGGAACACCAGUGGCGAAGGCGGCUCACUGGCUCGAUACUGACGCUGAGGUGCGAAAGUGUGGGGAGCAAACAGGAUUAGGUACCCUGGUAGUCCACACCGUAAACGAUGAAUGCCAGACGUCGGGCAGCAUGCUGUUCGGUGUCACACCUAACGGAUUAAGCAUUCCGCCUGGGGAGUACGGCCGCAAGGUUA
rnacentral:rRNA from 1 species